rnacentral:rRNA from 1 species
AUUGAACGCUGGCGGCAGGCCUAACACAUGCAAGUCGAGCGGAUGAGUGGAGCUUGCUCCAUGAUUCAGCGGCGGACGGGUGAGUAAUGCCUAGGAAUCUGCCUGGUAGUGGGGGACAACGUUUCGAAAGGAACGCUAAUACCGCAUACGUCCUACGGGAGAAAGCAGGGGACCUUCGGGCCUUGCGCUAUCAGAUGAGCCUAGGUCGGAUUAGCUAGUAGGUGAGGUAAUGGCUCACCUAGGCGACGAUCCGUAACUGGUCUGAGAGGAUGAUCAGUCACACUGGAACUGAGACACGGUCCAGACUCCUACGGGAGGCAGCAGUGGGAAUAUUGGACAAUGGGCGAAAGCCUGAUCCAGCCAUGCCGCGUGUGUGAAGAAGGUCUUCGGAUUGUAAAGCACUUUAAGUUGGAGGAAGGUUGUAGAUUAAUACUCUGCAAUUUUGACGUUA